GCUGUUUGUUCGGCUCUCCGUUACAAGAAGAACCACUGCAUUUCUAAAAUCAUCUGAACAUUUCAGAGGCUACAUUGAAUUACAGGAGGAAGUUACCGGCACCACACUACAAUGUAACUGAAUGAUGACUGGGGUUGCAUUACGCCUGAGAUCUGCUUUUGGGUUCCAAAGACAGAAAGUCA